rnacentral:ncRNA from 1 species
CCAUUUUUAACAAAAGGUCUUGGUCUUAAACCUAUUGUUGUCUAAGCUCCCUACUUAUACAUGCAUGCCUCAACAUAACAGUGAAACAGCCCACCACAAUCUACCUUAUUUGGAGCCGGUAUCAGGCAACCGCCCAUAACACCAAGCAACCAAGCCACGCCCCCACGGGUCUACAGCAGUAAUUAAUAUUGGGCCAUAAGCGUAAGCUUGACCCAAUAACAGAGCCUUAAGAGCCGGUUAAUCUCGUGCCAGCGACCGCGGUUACACGACAGACUCAAGACAAUACCACCGGCGUAAAACACGACUAAAACCUUAAGUUCUCUUAUUAGAGACAAAACCACCCCAGGCCGUAAAAAGCCAUAAGCCGCACUAAGCAUAUACUCUAAUACCAAAACAACUUCAACUCGUGAAAGCCAGGACACAAACUAAGAUUAGAUACCCUACUAUGCCUGGCCAUAACAAAACAAUAAAAUAACACAUUGUUCGCCAAAUAACUACGAGUGAAAACUUAAAAUUUAAAAGACUUGACGGUACUUCACACCAACCUAGAGGAGCCUGUCCAAUAAUCGAUAACCCACGAUUAACCCAACCCGCUCUAGCCUGACAGUCUAUAUACCGCCGUCGCCAGCUUACCUUGUGAAAGAAACAAAGUAAGCCAAACAGCCCUCACACUAACACGACAGGUCAAGGUGUAACUAAUGAGCUGGAAUAAGAUGGGCUACAUUUUCUAACCUAGAAAAAACGAACAACCUAUGAAACUAGAAACUGAAGGUGGAUUUAGCAGUAAGCCGAAAAUAGAUAUACUCCACUGAAACUAACGCAAUGAAGUGCGCACACACCGCCCGUCAUCCCUGUAAAACACACAACUCAUAUAUAAUAACAUUAUAAUCUCAAAGCAGGGCAAGUCGUAACAAGGUAAGCGUACU